rnacentral:misc_RNA from 1 species
UCUCCGUUGGUGAACCAGCGGAGGGAUCAUUACCGAGUUUACAACUCCCAAACCCCUGUGAACAUACCUGUUUUGUUGCUUCGGCCGUGCCCUCGCUCUCGCGGCGAGGCCCGCCAGAGGACCCAAACAAACUCUUUGACUUUGACCUAGGAUUAUACUUCUGAGUGAUACAAAAAAUAAAAUCAAAACUUUCAACAACGGAUCUUUUGGUUCUG